AACGAACGCUGGCGGCGCGCCUAAUACAUGCAAGUCGAGCGAGAAGGUGUAGCAAUACACUUGUAAAGCGGCGAACGGGUGAGGAAUACAUGGGUAAUCUACCAUCGAGUGGGGAAUAACCAGCCGAAAGGUUGGCUAAUACCGCGUACGCCUCCGGAUCUUCGGGUUCGGAGGGAAAGCCACACUGUGAGUGCGGCGCUCUUUGAUGAGCUCAUGUCCUAUCAGCUUGUUGGUAGGGUAACGGCCUACCAAGGCUUUGACGGGUAGCUGGUCUGAGAGGACGAUCAGCCACACUGGCACUGCGACACGGGCCAGACUCCUACGGGAGGCAGCAGUAAGGAAUAUUGCGCAAUGGGCGAAAGCCUGACGCAGCGACGCCGCGUGGGGGAUGAAGGUCUUCGGAUUGUAAACCCCUUUCGGGAGGGAAGAUGGAGCGAGCAAUCGUUCGGACGGUACCUCCAGAAGCAGCCACGGCCAACUUCGUGCCAGCA
rnacentral:rRNA from 1 species